GCACAGGGGAGUUCGCCGACGAUGAGAGGAAGAGAGGAAGCAAGUGGACGCAGUGAACGGGACGGAGUACGUGCCCACAUACAAGGACACGGACGGCGACUGGAUGCUCGUCGGCGACGUCCCCUGGAAGUUUCAAUGAAAUGAACUAGCAUGGAUGUUUAACGAAUUGGAAAGCUGGUGGAUGAUAGUUUGCAGAACCCUGUUAGUUUACCUAUUUGUCUAUUCAGUUUCAUAAUAUGCAUGUGUACUACUGCAUGUGUUCUUUUUCUGGCAAAAAAUACUUUUUCAGUUUCAUAUCUUCUGCAGGUAUAUUUUCAGACACCAUUAGCCUUUGAUUAGUUUCAAUUAUGCUGUUGCAUUGGCCUAACGGGAUUGUAUGUUCUUUGGCAGUUGUGCAGCGGUGUGGAUGAAAAUGCAGCUGGUGCAUGUACCCAGCUUGUCUUUGCACCCAUUGAUGAAUCUUUUGCUGAUGAUGAUGAUUCUGGCUGUUGCCGAUUCUGGAUGUUGAUGCACUGUAGUCUUGUUCCGCUAUAUUUUUUGGAUGUUCAACCUAGAUGUUCUGGAUGUUAGAUCCUUGUUUCUGUAGCGCUCAUACAUAUAUUCGAUUCAAUUUGUCCAUCUCAGCAGCUUCUCAGUUCAGGCAGAGGUCGUACAAGUGGCGGAGGAGGGUGAAGGCCUCGCCGACCGCUGUGCGCUGGCUACCCACAGCAACUGUGGCCGUCGGAGCUUCGUGCCAUGGCGGAGCGGCGUGCGGCGGCGAGGGCGACCGCGGCCCCCACCCGGACUUCCUGUUCCACCUCAACUUUCACCAUGCGCUGUUAGAAGCUAUCGGCCUCCAGGUCUCCAUGCCACCCUUAUUGUUCAUGCCUCUCCAUCCUUUUUUUGUUCUUGAUUUGCUUUUUGUUUUGUUGGGAAACGAGGAGCUGUUGUAACGUAGGAGAGUUGAUGGCUGUUGUUCUUGCCGAUUGGGGAGGGAGAGAGUUAUGCAUGAAUUGAUGCAAACAAAUUCUAUCAUUUCUUUUCUUUUACUGUUGGCUAAGUGUUGUGUGUGUUUGAUACAUGUAAUAUGUUUUAUUGUGUUAUAUCAGUGAACUAUUUUAAAUCUUUUUAAUGGUGUACCUGUAUGUUCAAAUAAUAGAGUCUGUUGCUAGUAGUGUAUAUUGUUUAAGGUACCACGAUGUAUAUUUAAAAAUCACUGUGGUACCAAUGAUCAUUGUGGUUCCUGAUUAGUGUGGUUAUGAUUUGA